rnacentral:rRNA from 1 species
GCAAGUCGAACGGCAGCGCGAGAGAGCUUGCUCUCUUGGCGGCGAGUGGCGGACGGGUGAGUAAUAUAUCGGAACGUGCCCAGUAGCGGGGGAUAACUACUCGAAAGAGUGGCUAAUACCGCAUACGCCCUACGGGGGAAAGGGGGGGAUCGCAAGACCUCUCACUAUUGGAGCGGCCGAUAUCGGAUUAGCUAGUUGGUGGGGUAAAGGCUCACCAAGGCAACGAUCCGUAGCUGGUUUGAGAGGACGACCAGCCACACUGGGACUGAGACACGGCCCAGACUCCUACGGGAGGCAGCAGUGGGGAAUUUUGGACAAUGGGGGAAACCCUGAUCCAGCCAUCCCGCGUGUAUGAUGAAGGCCUUCGGGUUGUAAAGUACUUUUGGCAGAGAAGAAAAGGUAUCCCCUAAUACGGGGUACUGCUGACGGUAUCUGCAGAAUAAGCACCGGCUAACUACGUGCCAGCGGCCGCGGUAAUAC